rnacentral:rRNA from 1 species
GCUCCAAUAGCGUAUAUUAAAGUUGUUGCAGUUAAAAAGCUCGUAGUUGGAUUUCUGCUCAAGACGGUCGGUCCGCCGUACGGUGUGAUUCUGGUUCGACUUGGGCAUUUUUUCUGGGGAACGUAUCUGUACUUGAGUGUAUGGUGCGGUAUCCAGGACUUUACUUUGAGAAAAUUAGAGUGUUUCAAGCAGGCAUCUGC